UAUUUGGUACAUCUUUAAGGUUCUAUAUUAAGGGAAGAAGCCAUGAUACACAGAUACCACUCUAUACAAGAGCUCAUAGAUUCUUACUACUGUUCAAGAUUGUGUUAAUUGUCGGCUUUACAAUUUGAAAUGCAUGUUUUCAGGCUGGUUUGGUAGAUCAUCCUUACUGAUUCUAUCCUUGGAAAAAUGAAGCUUAUGAAGGGUUCUAUAUAUUCAAGUGGGUCUACGGCAUAUGUUCUGCAGAUUCCCUGGAUUCUCUCUGGCAUUAUCCGUGAUAAUAUUAUAUUUGGAAAGGAUUAUGAUCUUACAAGAUACAGUUGCAUGGACCGAUAAGUAAAUGGGUGCAAAUUGCUAUUUUGGAUAACCUCACUUUCAGGUCCAUAAAUUAUGGAUCGUUCAAAGGGUUCCCCAAAACUGUGGAUGUUGUCGCGUCACAGGUUAAUAAUUAAAGCUACCUUUCAUUUCUGUAUUGGAUAUGAUAUUCAGCACCUAUUAUUCCUUUCAUUUUUGUAUUGGAUAUGAUAUGAUAUUCAGCACCUAUUAUUCCUUUCAUUUCUGUAUUGGAUAUGAUAUUCAGCACCUAUUAUGCAUUGUUUCUGUGUAAGUAAAAUUUUCCUUUUAAGUACGGAACAAGGGUAAGAAGACUCUACAACUAGUUGAUAGGAAAAGCCAUGGUCGGACUGCUGAGCUUUUAG